UGCUUGAUCGGACGUUUACCAGAUAUGGC
rnacentral:piRNA from 1 species